rnacentral:lncRNA from 1 species
UUAAAAAUAAUUAGAUUAAAUAUAUAUAAAAAAUAAAUUUAUCAAAUUUUACCUAUUAGACUUUGAUCUAAUAGUUGAAAUUUUACAUAUAAAUGAGUCUUUUUAUAAUUAAGCUCUCAUUUAUAUUUUUAUUUUGCUAAAAAUAAAAUAAUAAAAAUAUAUAUUAUAUAUAAUUAUUUAUUUAUAUAUAAAAAUAUAAAUUAAAUGAAUUAUAUAAAUAUAAAAUAUAUGUAUUCGAGCUGUUAUCGAGCCGAAUACGAGCGAGCUGACCCCAGCUCGUGUUCGGCUCGUUUAUUAAAUGAGCUGAAAAAUUCAGCUCGUGUUUGGCUCGUUUACUAAACGAGCGAGCCGAUCUCGAACUCAUUUCGAGCUAAACACAAGCUGACUCGCGAACAACGAGCUGGAUUGCCACCCCUACUCACAAGGAUAUG